AGGGGAAGAACAGAUUUCUGGCUUGAAUAAGGUUGCCUCACUGUCAGGAAGAAGUCAUCACAAAACAAGGGGAACUGUUGAACCAUCAUGAUGUUGAAGAUGCAGCUUCAUAUGAGGCCUACGAUUGACUCUACUGACUGGAGCAAGCCCAAGCUGGACAGGUUCGUAUGGGAUUUUUCAACCUGCAGUCUAAUGUAAUCAGAACUCUGACUACAUUGAUCAGAUUCAACCAAACUUGACAGCAGGGUGAGGAGCUAGAAGAUGAUUGCCUUCAAAUUUCAUGAAAGAAGGAUGAACAGAUGAUCUGUGCUGGCCUUAUAUGAAUCCAAAUGCUGUGGCUCCAAGCUACUACAAUUGAAGUUGCUCUUGACUUUCUGCCAGUUUCAGGUCUUUCGAGGAUUUAAUUUUGUACUGAAGAGAAGACAGGGUAAUGAUAAUCUGUCAUGCUUUAGGAUGGCUGCUGCUUUCAGGUAUGCUCAGAAAAGUUUCAGCCAUUUGAAUUGUGGUAGCUGUUUCCUUUGGUGCCAUAUAAUGAUGUGAACUCUUUGCCUGAAGAUACUGCCUUGGGUACCUCUCCGACAUGAGUUCAUAAUCAAGAUUCGGAUUCUUCUCUUCAAACGACCUAACAGAAACAAAUCCAAGAGGCACUUUUUUUGCUGUAGGAUCCAACUGUCAUGAUCUAUUGUGCAACUUUGUCAAAAACAUGGAAUCUCUUAACAGGACAGUGAAUGUGUUUUAGUGCUGACAUGGUUUUGGACGGCUGCAGAUAUCACUGCCUUCAGGAUAUAGUAUAAAACAUGCUUCUCUUCAUUUUUUUUCCAAGUCAUAGCAUAUAAUAAAGAGAAAUUCUA